UACGGGGGGAGCAAGCGUUGUUCGGAUUUACUGGGCGUAAAGGGCGCGUAGGCGGUCAGCACAAGUCAGUUGUGAAAUCUCCGGGCUUAACUCGGAAAGGUCAACUGAUACUGUGCGACUAGAGUGCGGAAGGGGCAACUGGAAUUCUCGGUGUAGCGGUGAAAUGCGUAGAUAUCGGAAGGAACACCAGUGGCGAAAGCGGCUUCCUGGUCCAGCACCGACGUUCAGGCACGAAAGCGUGGGGAGCAAAC
rnacentral:rRNA from 1 species